UACGGGGGGGGCAAGCGUUGUUCGGAUUUACUGGCGUAAAGGGCGCGUAGGCGGUCAGCACAAGUCAGUUGUGAAAUCUCCGGGCUUAACUCGGAAAGGUCAACUGAUACUGUGCGACUAGAGUGCAGAAGGGGCAACUGGAAUUCUCGGUGUAGCGGUGAAAUGCGUAGAUAUCGAGAGGAACACCUGCGGCGAAGGCGGGUUGCUGGGCUGACACUGACGCUGAUGCGCGAAAGCCAGGGGAGCGAACGGG
rnacentral:rRNA from 1 species